rnacentral:rRNA from 1 species
UACGGAGGGUGCAAGCGUUAAUCGGAAUUACUGGGCGUAAAGGGUGCGUAGGCGGUUAAGUAAGUUAUCUGUGAAAUCCCUGGGCUCAACCUGGGUAGGAAAGAUAAUACUGUUUAACUGGAGUGUGGUAGAGGAUAGUGGAAUUUCCGGUGUAGCGGUGAAAUGCGUAGAGAUCGGAAGGAACACCAGUGGCGAAGGCGGCUAUCUGGACCAACACUGACGCUGAGGCACGAAAGCGUGGGGAGCAAACAGGAUUAGAUACCCUGGUAGUCCACGCUGUAAACGAUGUCAACUUGCUGUUGGUCACAUUAAAGUGAUUAGUAGUGUAGCAAACGCGAUAAGUUGACCGCCUGGGGAGUACGGUCGCAAGAUUA